rnacentral:ncRNA from 1 species
ACUUUCACAAAGGGGAGCCCACGGGCUGAGAUUGAGUUUACUCUAAACCCUAGUACCUGUUUCGGUUAUUCGAGCGUAGGAAUUGUGAUGAAGUAAUAC